rnacentral:snRNA from 1 species
GUGCUCGCUUCGGCAGCACGUAUACUAACAUUGAAACAAUACAGAGAAGAUUAGCAGGGCCCCUGCACAAGGAUGACACGCACAUGCGUGAAGCGUUCCAGAUUUUA